rnacentral:tRNA from 1 species
GGUUCUAUAGUGUAGUGGUUAGCACUCUGGACUUUGAAUCCAGCGACUUGACUUUUGAACAA